rnacentral:lncRNA from 1 species
AGUCCUGUGUACGAAGUCCUGUGGUGCCCAUAAUAGGGCCGGGCAAUAGCUCCGAUUUACGAAGUCCUGUGGUGCCCAUAAUAGGGCCGGGCAAUACGAAGUCCUGUGGUGCCCAUAAUAGGGCCGGGCAUGGAGCUGAGGGAUUUUUGGGUCGGUCCUUCCAUGAUGUGAAAUGUUUGUGCAAUGAUGCAUUCCAUUAUAGCAUGU